rnacentral:lncRNA from 1 species
ACCUCAGACCAAUUCAGUCACGGUCGAUGCGGGUGGAUGUCAGUGUGCUGUGAAACUCCCCAGGUGCUUCUCAUGUGCAGCCAGGGCUGAGCACUCUGCUGCUUUCCCCCCUCUCUGUCAGAAAAUGAGCAUGGGGGAAACAGAGCCGACUUGUGUGGACAGGGUGCACGGACCACUAAUAGAAUUUUGACGUUGUGGCUCCUUAAAUAGCCUCCCAAUUGAGAAGCUCACGCGGAGGCGAAGGCCGAGGUGCAUGCAGCUGCCGCCUGGACGUGCGUCCAGUCCAUGUUGACGUUUGAAGAGUCACAGAGUGUGAAAAUGAACCUGAAGGAGAACUGGUGAAAUCACGUCCAGUGGCGACUCCGAACUCUGACUGACUGAGGGAGCCAAGUCGGACGCUGAGAGCAGCGGCCAGAGGACUGACUUCAGGGAUCUCCCAGCCUCUGUGGACACGUCAGGAUAAUCUGCUCUUCCCCAAAUGGAGGAGUUCCUCCCCUGACGUCAGGCUCUCCCAGCAGCCCAGAGACCACCCCAUCUCCCAGGCUGUAUCGGGGCUGAAGGCAUCACCUCAUCCCUCCCCAGCUUUGCUAAUU